CUGAGGAUCAAGCACAUCGCGGGAAUUUUAUUGUUCUACUGUGUUAGUGCUGCAGAUAAAGGGGAGAGCAUCUGGGAAAAUCAUGUCUACUUCAGUAGAUUAUGAAGAAGUUUUUUAUCAAGAGAAGCUCCUGCUAAACGGUCUCCCGCGAUGUGUCCUCUUUGGAAGUCUGACAAGUCACCCAAUUCACUGACCUCUUGUACUAACUGCUGCUGAACAUAACUUGUACUACACGGCCAUACAACCUAGAGAAUAAAGACAUAGCUAAGCAAAAUA